CCAAUAGCGUAUAUUAAAGUUGUUGCAGUUAAAAAGCUCGUAGUUGAAUUUCGGGAUUAGUACGCUGGUCGUGCCUUCGGUAUGUACUGGUGUUACUGAUUCCUACCUUCUGACGAAUCGUCAUGUCAUUAAUUUGGUGUGGCGGGGAAUCAGGACUGUUACUUUGAAAAAAUUAGAGUGUUUAAAGCAGGCUCGCGCUUGAAUACAUUAGCAUGGAAUAAUGAAAUAGGACGUUCGAUCCUAUUUUGUUGGUUUCUAGGAUUGACGUAAUGAUUAAUAGGGAUAGUUGGGGGCAUUAGUAUUCAAUUGUCAGAGGUGAAAUUCUUGGAUUUAUUGAAGACUAACUACUGCGAAAGCAUUUGCCAAGGAUGUUUUCAUUAAUCAAGAACGAAAGUUAGGGGAUCGAAGACGAUCAGAUACCGUCGUAGUCUUAACCAUAAACUAUGCCGACUAGGGAUCGGAUGAUGUUAUUUUUAAUGACUCAUUCGGCGCCUUACG
rnacentral:rRNA from 1 species